rnacentral:rRNA from 1 species
CAAUAGCGUAUAUUAAAGUUGUUGCAGUUAAAAAGCUCGUAGUUGGAUUUCUGGUAGGAGUGACCGUUCCGAACUUGAUUGUUCGUGUAUUGUGUUUUCUCCAGCCAUCCUUGUGGAGAACUUUUCUUGCAUUAAUUUGUAGGGAUUGGGACCCGCAUCGUUUACUGUGAAAAAAUUAGAGUGUUUAAAGCAGGCAAUCGCUUGAAUACAUUAGCAUGGAAUAAUAAGAUAGGACUUUGGUACUAUUUUGUUGGUUUGCAUACCAAAUUAAUGAUCAACAGGAACAGUUUGAGGAUAUUCGUAUGAACAUGUCAGAGGUGAAAUUCUUGGAUUUUGAUCAGACGAACUACUGCGAAAGCAUUUAUCAAGGAUGUUUUCAUUAA